rnacentral:rRNA from 1 species
UACGGAGGGUGCGAGCGUUGUCCGGAAUCAUUGGGCGUAAAGGGCGCGUAGGUGGCCCGGUCAGUUCGUGGUGAAAGCGCGGGGCUCAACUCCGCGUCGGCCAUGAAUACUGCUGGGCUUGAGCACUGUAGAGGCAGGCGGAAUUCCGGGUGUAGCGGUGGAAUGCGUAGAUAUCGGAAGGAACACCUGUGGCGAAAGCGGCUCACUGGACCAUUCUGACGCUUGAGGCACGAAAGCUAGGGGAGCAAACAGG